rnacentral:rRNA from 1 species
ACACUGACGUCGCGCGCAUAUCAAUAAGCGGAGGAAAAGAAACUAACAAGGAUUCCCCUAGUAACGGCGAGUGAAGCGGGAAGAGCUCAAAUUUGAAAUCUUCAAGGGUUUCCCUUGACGAAUUGUAGUUUAAAGAAGUGUUUUCUGUUAGAGAGGUGGUAAAAGUUCUUUGGAAUAGGACAUCAUAGAGGGUGAGAAUCCCGUAUUUGAUCACUUUCUACUAACGUUGUGAUACACUUUCAAAGAGUCGGAUUGUUUGGGAAUGCAGUCCAAAAUGGGUGGUAAAUUUCAUCUAAAGCUAAAUAUUGGCGAGAGACCGAUAGCGAACAAGUACCGUGAGGGAAAGAUGAAAAGAACUUUGAAAAGAGAGUUAAACAGUACGUGAAAUUGUCAAAAGGGAAGCGUUUGACACCAGUGUUGUUUUCUCGAAAAUCAAUUAAAAAUGGUGGGAUGUUGUGUUGUUAUUGACUUUAUCAGCUUUCUGCACUUUUUUUCCUAUCUUUUUUAAUGCACUUCUCGUUUAACAAGUCAACAUCAAUUUCUUUUGUUGUAAAAGAGUCAUUGGAAGGUGGCUUUCUUUUCGGAGAAAGUGUUUAUAGCCUUUGGCUUCUGCAAUCGGAGAGAUUGAGGUCUGCAGCGUAGAUCCUUCGGGGUUAGAUACAUUUGUGCUAAGUUAUAGCCUUUUCAUAGGCAACUUGUUGACUAUGAUUAGUCAUUGUAGCUUACUCGCUUAUGUCUAUUUUACCUACGCUUAGGAUGUUGACACACGCGCGUGCUCG